rnacentral:rRNA from 1 species
UGCAAGUCGAGCGGCAGCGACUUAACUGAACCUUCGGGGAACGUUAAGGGCGGCGAGCGGCGGACGGGUGAGUAAUGCCUGGGGAUAUGCCCUGAUGUGGGGGAUAACUAUUGGAAACGAUAGCUAAUACCGCAUAAUCUCUUCGGAGCAAAGAGGGGGACCUUCGGGCCUCUCGCGUCAGGAUUAGCCCAGGUGGGAUUAGCUUGUUGGUGAGGUAAUGGCUCACCAAGGCAACGAUCCCUAGCUGGUCUGAGAGGAUGAUCAGCCACACUGGAACUGAGACACGGUCCAGACUCCUACGGGAGGCAGCAGUGGGGAAUAUUGCACAAUGGGGGAAACCCUGAUGCAGCCAUGCCGCGUGUGUGAAGAAGGCCUUCGGGUUGUAAAGCACUUUCAGUAGGGAGGAAGGUAGUGUAGUUAACACCUGCAUUAUUUGACGUUACCUACAGAAGAAGCACCGGCUAACUCCGUGCCAGCAGCCGCGGUAAUACGGAGGGUGCGAGCGUUAAUCGGAAUUACUGGGCGUAAAGCGCAUGCAGGCGGCCUGUUAAGUCAGAUGUGAAAGCCCGGGGCUUAACCUCGGAAUUGCAUUUGAAACUGGCAGGCUAGAGUCUUGUAGAGGGGGGUAGAAUUUCAGUGUAGCGGUGAAAUGCGUAGAGAUCUGAAGGAAUACCAGUGGCGAA